UUUUUUUUUUUUUUGUCCCCAAUUCCUUUAAUGCAAGACCUGACUUGGUCACUAUUUUGACUGUGACACAGUAGUAUAGAGAAGCCAUUCAACAAACACUUGUUGAAUAUAUAAUAAAACAACCAAGGAAGGAAGGCAAGAAAGUAAGUCUAUCUUGCAUUCUCACCUGGUGGAAUUAGUUACUAAAAAUAUCAGUUUUCACUACAGUACAGACUUAUUAAAAUUACAAUAACAAUAAUGACUAUCUGUAUAUCUUACUAUGUACCAGGUACUAUUCUAAGCAAUUUAUAUGCAUUAAUUCAUUUAAUCUUCCACCAAACCUUCAGAGGUAUGCACUACUAUUAUCUAUGGUUCAAAAAUGACACAAAUGUAGAGGCAGUGAGUGAUGGAUUUGAGACUAGUCUGGAUCCACAGUUUCACAUGCCCCUAAUCACCCUACCCACUGCCUCCUACAUCAGCAAAGUGUAUCUCAACUUGGAGCAUAAUAUUUGCAUCUUAAGGCCAUCUUUCAAAUCUGCUCACAAAUCAUAAAUAUGACCUGAUUUUUGCUUUUUUUCGGUUAUGCCUGCAGUGUGCAAAAGUACCCAGGCCAUGGAUUGAACUCCAGCCACAGCAGCAUCCAUAGCUGCAGUAGUGACAACACUGGAUCCUUAACCACUAGGUCACUAGAGAACUCCAUGACCUCAUAUUUAAAUCCUAAGCCAGCCCCACUGUGAGUGACCGCAGAAGCCAAGGGAACAGCAGACCUUCUUACUAAUACCUCCUGUCCCCAUGUUUACAGCUAGGGUUUAAAAAAGACAGUUUGUCUAUGAGGAUGUGGGUUUGAUCCCUGGCCUUGCUCAGUGGGUAAGGAUCUGGUGUUGCCACAAGCUUCGGUGCAGGUCGAAGAUGAAGCUUGGAUCCAGUGUUGCUGUGGCUGUGGCACAGGCCAGCAGCUGCAGCUCUGAUUCACCCUCUAGCCUAUAUAUGGGAACCUCCAUAUACAGGUGAGGCCAUAAAAAGAAACAAAAUAAAAAGGAUUGUUUCAAUAAGAAGCUUAUUUCUUAAUCAUCUGCUGUAACAUUUCUAGGAGGAAUGCUAAGUUAAAAGCAAUAAAUAAAUUUGUGUGUUUAUUCAAAAGAAAAGUCUCCUCUGUAGCACAGAGAAAACAGGAAAAUAGGGUUUGGUAAUUCAUGUACUGCAGUGUCAUGCUGCAGGGCAAACCCUCCCUGAUGUGUAUCAAGGAACACUCACAACUUCACCCUGAACAGGGAGUGGCCCAGAAUGUUCUGCAGGCAUCCUCGAUGAAAAAGACUUCAUCUGGUUUAGAGAGGAAGACCAAGUGGAAAAGCAUGUUGUAGAAAGCUUAGGUUGCAAUAUAAAAGACGAUCUGCUACUGCAUUGCAAAUAAUGAAAAAAGCACACCCAAGAAAUACUUGUUCUUUCAACAAGAGAAAAAAGUUCUAUGGAUAAAGUUAAAAGCAUAUCAAAUCUGCACCUGCUAACUGUACCAAAGUUCAUUAGUGUUUGACAGAAGUCACAAAAAGUGACUUUCCUUACCUGGAGAAGUGUCCCAUGAAUAUGGUUUUGCCGGAAACAUUGGUCAGUGCAGUCAGGGAGUUUGGCCAACAGACUUCGGAUGGUAGCAGGGAUUUCGUCCAUCAUAACAAAGGGGACCAAGGCACGAGCUGCCAUUUCACGGGAGCGGUAAACAGGUGAACAACCACAUCUGGGAAGAUAUAAAAACACAAGGCCAUUCAACACUCACUUCCACAUCCGCACCUUUGCACGUGUUGAGGUUCUGUCUCAGUCUGCCUGAAAUACCCAAGGGCAGGGUGAGGGGAGGAGUUGCUCCCCAUUCCAAAUGAUGUUUUUUCAUACUUUCCUUACUCCAAAUGACUUUUAAAAUGUCAAUUCUACAGGUGACUUUGCUUUGCUCAUAAACACCAUUGAUAAUCUAUGAUUCUAUCUCAGGGAAAAAUACAGAUAGGAUUUGGGAAUAAGAUAGCUAGCUAGCUGCUCCUUAACAAUCAAACAGCUAUUUUCUAGGCUCUCAUAAUGAAAAAAUGUGCUAUGAUAAGUGUCAUGAGAAAUAAGAUUGUCACUGUUGUCUCUGAGGAGCCUAUACUCUGGUUGACAAGAUGAGAAGUACAUUUGAAAAGCCAACUAAGGAGUUCCCGUGGUGGUGCUGCAGAGAUGAAUCUAACUAGGAACCAUGAGCCACAAUGGGAAUUCCUCAGAGCGCUUCUGAAAGAAGUAGGACAGCUUCUAUUAAGUCUCAAUUUCCUCUGGAAACUAAAGCAGAUGGAUUUGGAAUCUCAAAGUUCAUUUCUUCUUUCACCAUAGUUUGAAAAUCAUUUCCUCAGUAUAACCAGCUAUGUUCUAGGCCUGAAUAUUAGAACACACACAGGCUCUGUGGGACACGCAGACACUGGUGUCUCUAAACCUCAAGCCCUCUCACUCCAAUAAACCCUUUCCAUGUUUAUUUUAAUCAUAUAUUUAUCGAUUGCCUGUGUUCCUGGUACCAUGUAACAUGAUACUGACACAUCUGUAAGAGUAAUACUUGCACUCCACAACUGUAGAGCCCUUGACAGUUUAUAAAAUGCCUGCACACCCAUUUAUGUCUUCACUAUACAGCAUUCCAGAGGGAUGUGAGGGCGUUAUAAAUCUAAAUUAACAGAAGAAAAGUGAAACGAAGCACAGAAAGGCUAAGCGGGCCCUCCAUGAUGUGUAAGCAGCAGCAGCUAGGCCAGAGCCACCAGCCAUGGCUCCCAGUGGAACUCGUAGGCUAGUUCGAGCUGUAGCUCACACCUGGGUAUCAGGGGAGCAUAAGAAUAUCUCCCAGCUAAUAAAAACAUGAGCUUUAAUUUACGAGUAUGUGGAAAAUUUCUAACUUAGCGUGUUGGGUUUUUUGUUUUUUUGCUUUAAACAUUUUUAGGAUCAUGAAAACAUUUCAGAAUCUAAUGUAAACUGUGGACUCUCUCACAAGAGAAGCACAUUUAUCAACAUACACAUACAAUUUUAGGAGGUUCAUGACGCACAUUCAAAACCCUUGGGGCAGUGUCUCCCAAACCCAGGUCAAGAAUCUCCAGUUGCUCCUUUGCACACAGUGUGUCAGGUGCGCGCUCUGCUUUAGAGGCGUGAGUGCAGGGAGCAGGACGUGGCUCACAAGGACCCUCUGGCUUAGAGGGGGAGCCAGAAUGACAACCUCAUGCUCACAAGUCAGUUACAGCCUCACAGGCAUACAAGGGUGUGCAGUGGCAUAGAAGAGAGAAAGGAGGGAGAGUCGGAACCCCUUUUUAGAGGAGACGAGGGUCUUGGAGUGAGGUGAUACACAGCUUUGGACUGCAGGAACCCUGGAUGACCUUGGAAAACUGAGACUAUAGUAUUCUGAGCGGGGAAAGACCACUCCUCUGAGAUCCUUUGGUGUCAAAGAGCAGUGGCUAAGCUUUUGUCCAGGUGUUUCCCCCUUAUAUUUACCCUCAGAUUUUGUUCACAGAGAAGUGACUGGACACCACUCAGAUCUCUAGGUUAGUCACGGAGAUGUCCACUGAGUGCCUGGCACGAGCACACACUGGGUUAGGAACCAGAGGCUCAGAGGGUGAAGUCAUGCCCAGGCCACAGGGAGUCUAGAGUCCAGUGGGAAAUACAGGCCACUCAGCCAAUGCUUUCUGGGCCGUGAGAAGCCAACCCGGGCUGCUGUAGAAGAAGUGAGGUGAGACAUCCAGAGAGGAGGGGCUGGUCCAGGAGAUGACCAUGUGGGAUCAGGCAGAGGAACACUGAAGGUUGGUAAGAAAGACAUGCCCUCCCCGGGCCUUGCUUUUCUCUCCGUGAACACAAACUGGCCCCCAGGGCAUGCAGUCAAAAGGAAGGGAACUGAGGUUUAUUAAAUGCCUACUGUGUACCAGGCCUGGCUGUGUCCUUCAGACACGAUUUCAUUUCCUUUAUUAAAUCUUCUUCACAAGGGUACCAUCUUCAUUCCUACUUUAAGAUGAGAAAGGUGAGGUUUCCCAACAUUCUUUAUGUCACAAAACCAGCAAGUGGCAGGUCCUGCAUUCUAAUUAGGGUUUAUCAACCUGAAAAAUUCAGUCUAAGACGUUAUGACACAGUUGCCUCCAAAUCCUCAGAGCCUUGAACAAGCCAAAUGUUUCCAAAGCAACCUGUUCAACCUAAUCGCAUUGAGGUAGGAAUGAUGGAGCCAACCAGUCCCUAGUUGGUAGACUGUGAAGCAGAACAAUAAAGAUGAUGCUGAUAGUAACGAGUAUUUAUUAAGCACUACAAAGGGCCAGACUUCGCGUUAAAAGCUUUGCAUGUAUUAUGUCGUUUAAUCCUCACCACGGCGAAGUAGCUGACCGAACAGCACUGGGGGAGGUAUUUUUGAACUGAGAAGACUCUGUAAAACCGGGUGACCCUAAGUAGGCCCCUCAUUUCAUGAGAACUAGAGUGAGAGCCUUCGGAAAAGUCUCAGGAUGGCUUUAGGACCCAGCCAUCCCCUUCCCCUCUCCCUCACUGACGUGAUUAAGGUUCCCCCAGUUCCUCUGCCUUCUCAGACCCAGAUCCAGUCCCGCUCCUCACUUUCCAGAAGUCAAGCUGUGCCUUGUACAAAACCGAAUACCUAGAACUUCUGCCGCUGAUGAAAAUAAUCAUCCAUUUUGCUCUAGACUUCCCUACUUGACCAAGGGGUUAGCAUCUCAGGAGCUGGGCAGAGUUUAAAGAAGGUAUGUCUGACCUACCCCCAAGCCCUUCAUUAAAUUUUCUUCCGAAAAUCUGCCAUCAUGGUCGGUUUCUCCGACAGCAGGGCCAGCUGCUCUUGGGAACAGUCAUCUACCAACAAUCUUUGAAGCUGAGAUGACCCUGCCUUGCAGGUUAUCUCUGAAGACUAGGUUGAGGUUAUACCAGGUUAUAAAUAUAUAAGAUUUCUAUAUAUGUUGUGUUAAGCCAGCUAUUGUUUCAUCCUUAGCGCCUUUGCACACUGCAGUUCGCGAUCUCUGGAAUGAAGGUCCUCUUCACUCCUGUACGCUUGGGAAGCUCUUCUUCAUCCUCUGAACUCUGCUUAGGUAUCACUUCUUUUACAAAAUCUUACUGCACCUCCUCUGGUCAGACGCAAUCCCUUUCUCUCCUGGGUCCUGUCACUGCAAUGGCUUGCUUACAGCUGUCAGGGCUGGGGGUGGGGUGGGGGUCCACCCCUUUUGCGUUCCCCGCAACAGCCCUUGGGUAUCAUGUUGGCUAGACUAAAAUAAUCUUGAGAGCAGAAACAGGGUCUUUAUAGUUUUGAAUAGGAGAGCACAUAAGGCAGGAGUUUAGAAUAUGUUCUGGAAUCCAGGAAACCUAAGUUUAAGCCCAAGUUCUUCCACUUACUAGCGGGUGACCCUGGACAGGUCAGUGAACCUCCUAAGUUUUUAUCAUCGAUGAAACAGGUAAAAGUAACUACCUCAGAGGCUGCUGUGAAGCUUGAAUGAGAUAAAUGCAUAGAAACACAAUGCCUACAAGGUUAAUGAUCAAUAAAUGGUACCUGCUAGAAUUGCAAUCUAGCAGGUGGAAGAACUUUCAAACUUACACGUUUUAUCCACAUGUACAAAUUCUCUAAUAUUCUCUAUCUCAACAACUGGCUGAGGACACAGAGCCUUGCCGGACCCAACAAGCUUCAGGGCUCACAAAGGGCUGCCCCUCCCCCUCUCCACCGAAGGAGCUGGAAAGGAGAGAGGGAAGACUGAGUUUCUUUGGUACCAACUGUUGACUUGUUUACAUGAGCCCUGCUGCCUUUAUUCUCCAGAUCCAGGGCCCAGAUUCUACUUUCUGUCAAUUCCAAUGCCGUUUCACACAAGAGUUCUUUUUCCUUUUUAUUGUGUGUGAGUCCCGGUUUCAAUCUUGCCUUCAGAAACAUGAACAUGUGUGGGUACGUGUGUACGCAUAAAAGAGAGAAACCGCUAAAAAAAUAAGGUUGUACCAGUGAAUUUGAAAAAACAGUUCCAUGUGUCCAGCCACUCUGAAAUAUGUUUUUGUUCUAAGUGUGGUGUUCCUGAAGCCCUUCUUGCACAUUCUCAGGUGAGUUUGGUGCCACCAAGGUGGCCAGAUUCUCUGCUUGUCCUGCCUAAACUGAUUUUCAGUUCAUCAAAGGACCUACCACCACCUGAACUACUUGUUCCUUUUCCUGCACCUCAAACCACUAGCACUCAGAAGUUGCAUUUACUGUAAUCUUUCCCUCUGCACAGCUCAUGGAUUUCUUUAUUCAAAUAUAUUUCUUGGAAGGGUAAUGGGUUCAGAACUUUUGAAGUUUGAUUUAAAAAAAAAUCCUUGGUUUGGAUAGUGAGGGGAAAAUAAGAGCAGUAGACAGUAGCUAAGCUAAAAAUCACAAAUUUCCAGCUUUCAUGGACAAAAAAUACACACACACACACACACAUAUAUAUCUAUGGGUAGAAUGUUUAAAUAUUGAGCAGCUCAAAGCUGUAAUUGCUCUUUACAAGUUAACUCUCAUUAAUAAAAAAAUUAAAAAAAAAUUGAUGAAGAAAUGCUGACAAUAAUUAAUAAGCCAAAACAGCACAUCUGAAAACUGCAAUGUGUUAGCCCCAGGACAUCCCAACC
rnacentral:lncRNA from 1 species